ensembl:lncRNA
CCUGCAGGCCCUCCUAGGGUCAUCCUUGAUGCCCAAGAGGCCAGGCCUCUGUAGCCCCAUCCCAGAGAUGGGGGUGCUAAGGCUCAGGGAGAUGACAUCACCUGCCAACAUCACCCUGCUAUUAAGUGGCAGAGUAAGAACAAACCCAGCAGGCCUGUCCCCCCACCACCAGGCUCAGGUCCUCGCCACCAUGUGGGACUUGCCCUCCGCCUGCCCAAGGUCUCACCCAGGCGGUGCCAAGAGAAACGGGCCCGGGACUGCAGCUUCCCCGCCCCUCAGCAUUACCAGCGCUCAGGUCACAAAGGGGCCAGCAGACACCACCGCCCGCCCUGGGCUGGCAGCUCCAGGCCAGAAGUCAGUCCUCCUAGUGAUGCCAGGACUCACGGGCCAGGGCAAGCACCCGCCCCACAGGAAGGCCCGGGCCCUCUAAUGACCAGCUGGGUCCACGCACCACCUACACUGCUGGGAAAGGAAGUGGCACUGGGAGAGCUUCUGAAUCACACAGCUGCCUCCAUUGAGACACGUGGACACCUGGCGUCCCCAUCCAGGGCCAGGACCUAAAGACUGGGGAGCAGAAGCGGGAGGAGAGGAGCCCGGUGCGUGCAGCAGCCUGCCUGCCCCCGAGUCUGGAAUGAGACAGCCAUGGCGGGCGCGGCUGUUUAAGCAGGCAGGAUGUGGUGACAAUGAUACUGCAACACCUCCCUCGUGUUCAGGGAGUGGGGUGUGUUCGCUCAUAGAAACACCUGCUUCCUCUGCAAGGAGCCGCCCCAGCCCCGCCGACCUGGAGCUUGUCUGCGCCACCCAGACUCCUCCUUCUGAGGCAGGAAGUGUUCCCAGCUCAGUCACACAGCCAGUGCUCUCCCCAACCUCACACAGGCGAAGGCUCAGCAGGGAGCAGCAGCUACUGUAUCUUACCAGGUUACCAGAGCAGCAGAGGCAGCUCCUCCUUCCAGGUGCUGCUCCUCGGCCCCUGAGGACCCUGCAGAACUCAGUCUUGCUUCGCUCCGCGGCCCAGGCUGGAGUGCAGUGGCACAGUCUUGGCUCACUGCAACCUCCACCUCCCGGGUUCAAGUGAUUCUCCUACCUCAGCCUCCCGAGCUUCUACAACUUUAAAUCAGGAAUAAUGCCACCUUCCUUGUAGACGUGUAUGCAGUGACCCCAAAGACGUCUAACAGAUAUUAAGCAUAAAAGAAUAUUGCUGAGCAGUAUAUAAAAUGUGUUUUCUGUGAAAGAAGCCUGUCAUAAAAGGCAAAUACUUCGAUUUCACUUCUUCACAUAAGUGAAUAGACAGAAAGCAGAAGGGAUACCAGGGCCUGGGGGAGCAGGAAAUGGGGAGUGAGCGUUUAAUGGGUGCAGAGAGUUUCAGUUUUGCAAGAUGAAAACAGCUCUGGAGAUGGCUGUAGUGAUGGAUGCACAAUAUGAAUGUACUUAAUACCAUUGAAGUGUACACUUACAAAUGGUUAAGAUGGUAAAUUUUCUGUCAUGUGUAUUUUACCACAAUAAAAAAAAAUUAGGAAAUAUGAUAUCUUUUUUUUUUUUUUUUUUGAGGU